UCCACAGCUAUUGAUUUUAAAUCAGCAAGGAAUAUGAGAAUCUACAGUAACAUUCAUUUAAAUCUCUAUGGAAUACAUGGUAUGUGUUCUAGUUUUCUUCCAAUAUAAUGUAAUAAAGCAUUAAUCUUCACUCUAAAUUACAGUAUUUUUCAACCAGGGUCUUAUUCUUGACCUCACCUCUUUUUAUAAAUUUGGGAAACGUGACUCCGGCAAAACAACCUAUAUCAGGGAAACAGAAAGUAAAGAAAGAUCCUCUUUCUAUAAUCUAAUCUAGUCCAGCACGUACGUCAUAUAACAAUGCAAAGAAGUGGGAGUCAGUACUGGGAAGGGAGGAAUUCCAGUGGAGUGGUUCUGGUAUUUCAUCCAGACGCAGAGCAUGAGAAUGACUCGAUGUGAAUGUUGAGCAGCUUCAGACAGUAUAAAAGCAGCACUGCUGUCUCUUGCCAGGUCUUCAGCAGUGUCGACCGGCACUGUCUCUACCUCCAUGUUGUUGAGAGUUUGUGAGAAGAUGGCUGCGUGCAGAUGCAGAGACAGGGGGGAAUUAACUCAAACAUCAAACGAUCGGUUUUGAAGUUAUAUCGGUACACCUCAUAAUACCGAUAUACCGCCCAGCCCUAAUCUGUCGGCCUAUCAGUCCAGCACAGUGGUCAAGACUGAAAUAUCUCAACAACUGUUAGAUGUAUUGCAAUCAAAUGUGGUACAGGUGUUCAUAUUUUCCUCAGGAUUAACUAAUCACAUUGAUGAAUACUUGAGUUUACAUUUCCACUAGUCAGGGAAAUGUUUAAUUUGUACAUCAUGUUGAAUGCUAAUUAGCAAAUAUUAACAUGCAAACACACUAAAAUAAGAUGUUGAACUUUGUAAACAUUAAAAAUGGUAAAAAUCACCAUGUUAGCACUGCUACUGUAACUGUAACAUUUAGAUCCAAGCACCGCUGUUCCUGUGUAACCGUAGCUUCAAGGAGCCACUAGGAUGGCUUGGUAUUAACCGUAUCCCCUAUCUUUCCAAACCCUUAACCAAGUGUUUUAGUUGCCUAACUUUAACCGUACCUUAACAAUGUUACAUUUGCCAUGAUCUUUUCCCAACCUUAACCAUGCCGUGGUUGCAGUGUACACAUAUUGUAGAACGUGUGAAUUUGAAAACAUUGGUACCUUUAUUCUUGAAUCCAGAGAGAUAAUUCAGAGUUUUGCAAAGGCAUCCAAUAUAAACAGCUCAACUCCCAUGAUUGUGUUUGACCUGGAGAUCAUAGUUCUUUCUUUUGUCCUGCCAUUAGCCAUGUGUCAGUGUUAUUGAUUUACAGAUACUUUGACAUCCAUUCAGAACUAUGAUACUAGACGUUGGCAUAGUGUCCAACUUCCUGUUGAUCUCCGCGUGUGAAUAAAGGAAAGUGUAUGGGUGUCUGUUUGUCCAAGCCAGAGACUGACACCAAUACUUAUCUGCUUUGUUGUUUCCCAUUGUUUGCUUUGUAUGUGGGAGUGGCACUGACACAGCACAUAUGACACAUUGUGAAAUAAAACUCUUAAACAUCAACACAAUUAAAUCUAGAGUAGAGCAGAUUCAAAUGUUACUAUGCCCAGACACAGCAGCUAUACUAGUCAAUGAAGUUACAGAAUCUUCAGGGUUUACAGUUUCAAGAUGAUCAGGAUUCACAUGUUUCUUAAAACUGUACACAGUGAACUGUAAAUCAGAAUGGGUCCUUAGAUGACAAUGGUUUUCUGUUUGAGUCUGACAAUAGCCUUGGAGUUUUUUUGUUGCACAGAUACAUGACACAAUAUGAUACAAAACAUUGUUUAAUUCUGUUUAGUCACUUGUCUACUGUUUGCAGAGCAACAGUUACCGUAGUGUAGCUGGAGAAAUAGUGCAUCAUAGUAGCUCUUUGUAUUUUCUUUUGUAUUUUCUUUAUUUUAAAGUGUGGUUUUGACUUUUUAACCACAGGAAGGUAAUCUUUUCUUCAGUCCCUCCACAAGUUAAAAAAGCUGUACUUUACUUCCCCCUCUCUUAGUUUGUCUUGAUUUUGACUUUGAUUGUCUUGGUUUGACCAUUUCCGAGUCCACCAAAAUGACAGAAACCUAACUGUUAUGCAAUAACAGUAAUGCCCAAAUAACUGUAUUUCAUUGCAAAUAUUUUGCUGCAUUUGUACAAAUAUUGUACUAAUAUGUCUCACUGAUUCGGGUAACCCAAUGAAACAAAUGACCCAUGAAUACAUCGGAGAAGAGGCCAAAGCCUAGGAUCUUAUCCAACUUGUCUUUCCCACCAUCUUCUCACCUUGAGGUCUAUCAUUAGGGGCAGUGAUAAAAGGGAAGUGACACAGUCCUGUACUCCCCAAUGAUCACCUGUAAUGUCAUCUCAAGGGAACCUGCACUAGUAUCCUUCAUAAGUAGUACGAAAACCUUUUCCUUGAAGGCUGCAGAGCAAGUAUUUGUCAUAUUUAAAAUUUUCUUUUUCAUAAUAGUCUAUGGUAUCCAGUCUUUGCUGUAGGCUGUUAAAGUUUUUUUUAUAGCGUGGCUACUUUUUUUACAGAAAGGAUAUAAAAAUUGCUGUGAAUUUAUUGCUGUGUUUACAUUUUAGUUAUUGUUGGAUCUGGUUAGUUGGUCACUAGAAAUUUUCCUGUGAUCACAGAAUGAUGAAGUGAAGCCCUGGAAAACAAUCAUUUAGAUUAGUAUUUGUAUGUUGAUAUGAUAGUUACUGGUGAAAGAUUUUCCAUUGCAAUGUUGUAGUUUUUAUGUUGAAUGAGAUAAAAUGAAAAUGAGAUACAUCAAUCCUUGUUAGACCUACAGUACAACUUUUAGAGCACAGUAUGGGUCAUGUUGUAUGACAAUAAACAAUAUUUGUGUUUGCA